rnacentral:rRNA from 1 species
GACGUAGGGCGCGAGCGUUGUCCGGAUUUAUUGGGCGUAAAGAGCUCGUAGGCGGCUUGUCGCGUCGACUGUGAAAACCCCGCGGCUCAACUGCGGGCUUGCAGCCGAUACGGGCAGGCUAGAGUUCGGUAGGGGAGAUUGGAAUUCCUGGUGUAGCGGUGGAAUGCGCAGAUAUCAGGAGGAACACCGAUGGCGAAGGCAGAUCUCUGGGCCGUAACUGACACUGAGGAGCGAAAGCGUGGGGAGCGAACAGG